AACGGUAUUUGCCCUGGAAAAUGUGUAUCAGUUCUUUCAAGAUGAAAAUUCAUUAAGGCGAAUGCCGUUCUGAUGACAAUACCUUAUUCAAACAUCCAGAGACAAACAUUCUCAGCGUCAAGCAGUGGGACCCAAUCAUCCUAUAUUAAAAAUACCGCGGCAGAGAUGUGGCUGAGCUUGUCGGUGUCUACCCAGAACCCAUCGCCUCUGUGUUGUUUAUCCACUGCCAAAGAGCCUAUGUUACACAUCAUCUUUAAUCAAUUUACUGUAGUUCUUUUAAACAUUCUGGAAAAUUUAGUUUGAACCUCAAACUUAAUUUGGCAUUUAGACUUAGAGGCAAUAAACAAACAUUUAUUGAUCAUCUACUAUCUGCUUCUGCUCUGUUAGCAGCUGUGGGCAUUCGUCCAAGAAGACCCAAUCCUUGAUUUCAGGGAACACAAAAUCAAAUUGGAGACUAGAGACACAUGAGGGCGUAAUUGAGAAGAUAAGAGAAUAUAUGAUAGAUAAUGAAUGAGCAGCAAUUCAGAGUCGUGAAAACACUCUUUUUUUUUGUUUUUUUGGUGAGGAAGCUUGGCCCUGAGCUAGCAUCUAUUGCCAAUCUUCCUCUUUUUUUUUUUUCUCCCCAAAGCCCCAGUGCAUAGUUGUAUAUCCUAGUUAUAAGUCCUUCUAAUUCUUAUACCUGGGAUGCCACCACAGCAUGGCUUGAUGAGCGGCGCUAGGUCCACACCCAGGAUCCGAACCGGUGAACCCUGGGCCACUGAAGCAGAGUGAACUGAUCUGAAGGUUGACGCCCAUCAGUCUACAUGAGACUUUAUUCCACAGAUAACAGACAACCGUGGAGGAUUUUCAGCGUAGUAAUUGUGCAGUGUCAAGAUGACCCUGAUAACAAGAGCAGUGACGCUUUAUUGACUGGACCAAGUGCCUUGUGUGUGUCAACUUGUUCAACUCUCAUCAUCUAAAGAUCGGGUAAUAUUAGCUCCAUCUGUAUUGACUGAAGCUCUAAGAGGCUAAGGAAAUUACUCAAAUCACACAGUUAUCAAACGGCUUAGCCAAGACUUGAACCCUGGUGUGUUUUAAUUCAAUUUCUGUACUUCCCUCCCUCGGGGAUUCACUGGUGGUGACAAGAAGCAUGGACAGGACAACACUUGGACCAUUUGCAGCCCUUACGCUUGGGUGUCUGAAAUAUGAAAAUGCAGAUUUGCCAAUCUGUGACUCAAGCAGAGACUUAGUGAUGAAAAGACAUACACUUCCUCUCACCAUGUGUUUUCAACACUGCCUCUCCCGAGCCUGGGACCCCUCCAAGGAUGAAUUGCUUGGAAUAUGAGGACAAAAUGGAGAAGUGUUCCGUCCAUUACUGUAAGAUCAAGUCUGACUUCAUCUCCGUCUUCAAUUAAUCAUUCUCAAUCAGAUAACUCCAAGAGGUGUCAGGUUUUGCUCGAUGAACUCAAAAGGAAAAUCUGUUUCCUAUCCUCUUCAGACUUACUUAUCUGAAUAUUUGCGUUUAGUAUUUGACCAAUGCUAAUGUCUACUGUUGGGUGUCGUGAUAGUAAACCCACAAAUUCUUUCCAUCUUUAGACAAAUGUUUCACUGUGUAUUAAUUUUGAUUCAUCUCAAUAAUGGUGAUAAUAUAACAUUCAUUUGAGGUUUCGGUAGCUAGUACUUGCAUCUUGACACAAAUUGCUUUAUAAUUCAGUCUUUAUUUUCUGGUUGCCUGAAAUAGUAUCCUCAGUAGCUAAGGCCUUUCGUCAAAAAACUGCUCCCAAAUAUUGUGUUCUAAUGCCGCUUUAUUUGCUGUGGAGCAGAGUUUUAGUGAACUCAUGGAAGGUUUGAAAUCCAACGUCCAUCCACUGCUGAACCACCGGGAGCAAUAAAUGGCCUUUUCCUGUUGGUGAUUGAAUAACAGAGUGCAGCUGAGGCAUCUCGUAAUCACCAGGACCAAAUAUGCUACUGAAUGAAUUCUCCUACUGUGGGAGAAAUCUUUCUAACACACAGGAGGAAAGGAGGAAAGAAACCAGCCUCUCAAAGCUGUGGGCUGUGGCAGGACCGUGAUGGUUAUCUUCCUGGGGGAUCAUCAACAUCCCCUAAAGGUGGAAUGACUGGCUCAGCUGAAUGGGCCAGGGAACACGAAUCUGAAAUCAAACGUUGGUUGAAGGGCACAGUCAAUGAGGAAAGGCAGCGGAUGUAUGUGGACAAUCACGUGUGCCGGGGUGUAAGUUUGGUUCAUUUGGAAUUGAGAGCAGCUGAAUCUCCUUGUUGCUCAGUGAUCAACACAUCUUCUGGGAAAACCAUCCCGUUUCAGACAACUUCCAGCCUGAGGAUUCGGCAGGACUCUCUCCCUCUCACAUAAUUUCACUUCCUUAGCGUGUCACUGGAUGAGCAGCGUCAGCCUCCUGUGGAGCUCAUUAGAAAUGCGGGCUCUCAGGCUCCAUUGCAGACCUGUGGCAUCAGAAUCUGCUUUUUAGUAGGAUUCCAAGCACAGUCUGACGCAGGCCUGGUUAGCAGAGGUCUCCCUGAGAGGGAUCUCAUUGUCGUGAUCUACAGGAGCCAGGAAGAGGAGCCAGCCCUCGGAGGGGGCUGGUCAGCUGGGGCCAUGACAACAGGCCGCACUCAAAGGAACAGGUCCCCUUCAGCUCCAAAAGAUUGGCGUCAUCUGAGAAUGUGGACCCAGCGUGGGCAGAUUUUUCUAGUGUCUAGAAGUGACUGUGCAAACCCAAAACAAAACUAAAAAGACAUGUUUGUGGGCCACCAAGAACCUCUGGUAUGAAGUAAAUUAUACAGGCAUUGGACAGUAACAACCCAUCCAAGGGAGCUGUGGGCGGAGGUGUGGCAUCUGCUCAUUCCUGUUGUAGGGAGGUGAGCUCUACCACGGGGCAGUGGAGUGAACAAUGCCCGGAGAUUAUCCAAAACCCUUUGCUUUAAUUUUCCGCUCACCCAACAGACUUCUGCUUACUAAUUCAGGUUUACAACAAAGUUUAAAACCAGCAAGGGGGGGAUCUGGAUAAGGCACUAUACCUAUUUCGGUCCCCGGAAAGGGCUAUUCCUGCAUAUCAAUAAAUCAGCAUUCUGAUUUCCUACUGACCUCUUUGCUGAAUUUGUCUGCCUUGUAGAGCUUUGGGCAGCUCUGGGUAAGCUAACGAAAUAAAAUUCUGGUGCUGAAAAGCUGUUUGUGACCCUGAUCAACAGUGACCUAGGUUUGGUCACUGCUCCCUCUCCAGACACCAACCAGUGGGCUAUCUCUCUGUGAAUGUGGCAGGCACCAUUUUGCUGGGGAAGGAGGUUAAAUCUUCAGCCUUGUCAUAGACUCAGCUUUGUAAUUCAAGACUCUUUUCUCUCAUCCUUUGAUUUUCAGCCCCCAGACUUUUCUCUCCAUGUCCUUGCCCCCCGGCACUUCCAAUUGUCUAGCAACUAACUGUAUUUGGGCAUUCCCUGUCUUCCCAAAUUAUCUUUACUCUUCUUCCUUACUUCUUCAUCCUUCUCUUGUUUUAUUCCUUUCAUUACUUUUUGUUCUUUUAUUUUGCAAACUCACCUGCUUCCUCAGUGAUCUUUUUAAGAUCCCAUAUGUUACAGAUUCAUGAGGAUGGAAACAUUCCUUUAGAGCUGGGCUGACCAAUGUGGUAGCCGCUAGCUACACGUGAUUAUCGAACAUGUGAAAUGUGGCUUGUCUGAAAUGAGACGUGUGGUA
ensembl:lncRNA